GUUCUGAAAUUGCUGCUGGAAGCAUCAAUUUGAUGUUUGAUGCCCACUUGGAUAUAGCUCCGGAUAAUAUAUACAUGAUUAGAAAUACUAUAAUCGAAGUUACCAUUUGUGGCUAUCGUGAGCAACUGUGAUCAAAGUUACCUUUGAAGAUCUGAGCUGCCAAUCGUCAUCGACCUGAUUUGUUAUUCCUAAUCAAGCCCUCAUCAAGAGCAGACGUAUUUUAUUACAACUCUACAAUAAACUGUUAUUUGUUCAUCAA